GUUAAAAAGGAGCACCUGACAUAUGAGGAAGACAAUCACAGCGAAAGCCCACGUGGAAGGAAUCCAAUUCCUGUGGUUUGCUGUCGGUUCCUGAUUCAGGGUUGUCUCUAAAGUCCAUGCCUAGCUUCAAAGGAAAAAAAUCCAAGGAAUGCAGCAAUUCCACUGAAGAUAAAUGUGGUGGAGAAGAGGCAUUUAUGGGGAAGUCAUGCUGGCAGAUGGGAGCUGUACUUGAGUGCCAUAUGCAGGUUUUGGCUGCCCAUAUGUAACCUCAUGCUGUAUGUGAAGAAGCAUAAUUACCUGAUGGGGCUAGAAGUCGAAUCUGGGUCCCUUGCCAUCACGGUACCAAUGAUUGUGCCCACUUCAAUAUCCUCGUGAACCUCGAACAGAUAGGAGGAUCUGCUGAAAACGGGAGGCUCGUCCACAUCUUCGAUAGAGAUUUUCACAAUUGUCGUGUCUUUAAAUGGUCCUAGGUAAUAAAAGCGCGGAUCCACGUGGGUAUUUUCUGCUUCUACCUUCAGAGUGUAAAGCCUUCGGCUUUCGUAGUCAAGUGGCUGUAUUAAAAAUAAGUAAGUAAAUAAAUCAUCAAAUUAGAUUGGAUUAGAGGGUCCUUCCAAGUUACAGUAUGAUUUUUAAAGCCUAGCUGAGUUCUGUCAAGUUGUUCAUUAACUGUAAAUCACUAAAAGUAAUAAAAAUACAUAAUCUUUA